GCCUGCCUAGCUCAAUUGGACAGAGCGUCAGACUCUUAUAGGCAGGUAUCUGAAGGCUGCGAGUUCGACCCUCGCGGUGGGCU